rnacentral:rRNA from 1 species
CUUUGUGGCCCUAUCACCUCACAGGUGCCCAUUCUCAACUGACCUUGGAAGCUAAGCAGGGUGGGGACAGGUUAUUACUUGAAAAAGAUAUCUGUGUGCCAAUGU